rnacentral:rRNA from 1 species
GAUGAACGCUGGCGGUGUGCCUUAAGCAUGCAAGUCGAACGGGAUUAGUAGCAAUACUAGUCCAGUGGCAGACGGGUGAGUAACGCGUAGGAAUCUACCCUCAAGUGUGGAAUAGCUCGCCGAAAGGUGGGGUAAUACCGCAUGUGGUCGCUUGAUCAAAGCUGUAGCAAUACGGCGCUUGAGGAGGAGCCUGCGUACUAUUAGCUAGUAGGUAGGGUAAUGGCCUACCUAGGCGAUGAUGGUUAGGGGGUGUGAGAGCACGGCCCCCCACAAGGUCACUGAGACACGGGACCUACAUCUACGGAUGGCAGCAACUGGGAAUCUUGCGCAAUGGACGAAAGUCUGACGCAGCGACACCGCGUGUGGGAUGAAGUAUUUCGGUACGUAAACCACUGUGGCGAGGGAAGAAUACAAUGACGGUACCUCGCUAGAAAGCAUCUGCUAACUACGUGCCAGAAGCCUCGGCAAUACGUGGGAUGCAAGCGUUAUCCGGAUUUACUGGGCGUAAAGGGUUUCGCAGGCGGAUUAUUAAGUCUUGCUUUAAAAGCUGGAGCUCAACUCCAGGCAUGGGUGAGAUACUAGUAAUCUAGAGGGAAUCAGGGGAGAUCGGAAUACUCGGUGGAGGGGUGAAAUCCGUUGAUAUCGAGUAGAACGCCAAUGGCGAAAGCAGGUCUCUGGGGUUCUCCUGACGCUCAGGUACGAAAGCUAGGGUAGCAAAAGGGAUUAGAGACCCCUGUAGUCCUAGUCGUAAACGAUGGAUACUAGCUGCUCCCAUUAAGGGGGUGGCGUAAGCUAACGCGUUAAGUAUCCCGCCUGGGUAGUACGGCCGCAAGGUCGAAACUCAAAGGAAUUGACGGGGGAGCGCACAACCAGUGGAGCAUGUGGUUUAAUUCGAUACGAAGCGAAAGACCUCACCUGGGUUUGACAUGUACUUGCAAAUCCCUGGAAACAGGGACUCUUUCGAAGGUAGUACACAGUUGCUGCAUGGCUGUCGUCAGCUCGUGUCGUGAGACGUCCGCUUAAGUGCGGUAACGAGCGCAACCCCUGUUCUGUGUUAAAUUUUCACAGAAGACUGCCUUACAGCAAGUAGGGAGGAAGGAGGGGACGACGUCAAGUCAGCAUGGCACUUACAUCCAGGGCCACACACAUCCUACAAUGGGAAGUCACAACGGGUCGCGACAGGGUAACCUUGAGCCAAUCCUAAGAAAACUUCCCUCAGUUCAGAUUGAGGGCUGCAACCCGCCCUCAUGAAGCCGGAAUUGGUAGUAAUCGCGGAUCAGCAGGCCGCGGUGAAUACGUUCUCGCUCCUUGUACACACUGCCCGUCAAGCCAGCAAAGUCGGCAGAUCCCGAAGCGGGUGUUUGCAACCGUAAGGAGCAACCCUUCUAAGGAUAGGUCGGUGAUGAGG